rnacentral:lncRNA from 1 species
UAAUAUUUUAUUAAUAAUAUGAUAUAAUAUUUUAAUUUACAGCCAUUAAUUACUUACAUUUUAACUCAAACUUUUCAAGAUUUACUCCGAAACAGUUCAAAUUUGUGGAACUCGUGUGCUAUAAAGCGCAAACUCUAUCACACUCUAAUGAAAAUGGAGCAUAACAACUGAUUUCAUCACUUCGCAGAAGUUGAAACGUUGUGGUUUUCAGGAAAGUAAUUUUGUU